rnacentral:rRNA from 1 species
GACGGAAGGUGCAAGCGUUGUCCGGAAUUAUUGGGCGUAAAGAGCUCGUAGGUGGCCCGGUCAGUCUUUGGUGAAAGCGCGGGGCUCAACCCUGCGUCGGCCAGGGAUACUGCCGCGGCUCGAGCACUGUAGAGGCAGGCGGAAUUCCGGGUGUAGCGGUGGAAUGCGUAGAUAUCGGGAGGAACACCAGUGGCGAAGGCGACUACCUGGCCUGUUCUUGACGCUGAGGCGCGAAAGCUAGGGGAGCAAACGGG